AUGACGAUAUUGCCCUCGUAUCUCCAGUGCCCAUAUAAGCACACACAAUGCCACACAAAGUCUCACACUCUCACCUCAUCAGUUCUCUCCUCCUUCCCUUCCCUUGAUUCCGAAGAAGAAGAGGCAGUAGCUUGCACGAGGAGGGAGAUGGAGGCGAAGAGGUCGAGGCCGGCCGCCAUGGCCGCGCUGUGCAUGCUCCUCCUCCUGGUGCUGCUGCCCGGGGAGGUGGCCGCCAAGUCCAAGUUCUGCAAGUGCUUCGACGACUGCUUCCCUGGGUGCACGAACGACCACGUGCCGCACUUCCUCUGCCAACUGUUCUGCGCCAACAAGUGCAGCCCCAACCAGGCCGCCGUCAGCGGCGACGCCAUGUGCAGGAUGGCCUGCAGCAAGCUGAACAUCAAAAUCUGCGGCUGGUCAGCGGCGCCCGCCGAUGCAGCUGAUGCGGCCAGCUGCAUGGAAAACUGCAACAAGAAAUGGAGCCAGAAUUAA
rnacentral:rRNA from 1 species